AAAAACAAAAUUAUUCGCCAGAGUACUACCGGCAACAGCCCAAAACUCAAAGGACUUGGCGGUGCUUUAUACCCUUCUAGAGGAGCCUGUUCUGUAAUCGAUAAACCCCGAUAAACCUCACCAGUCCUUGCUAAUACAGUCUGUAUACCGCCAUCUUCAGCAAACCCUAAAAAGGAACAAAAGUAAGCUCAAUCAUAACACAUAAAAACGUUAGGUCAAGGUGUAACCUAUGGAAUGGGAAGAAAUGGGCUACAUUUUCUACCCCAAGAAAAUUUAAUACGAAAGCUAUUAUGAAACUAAUAGCCAAAGGAGGAUUUAGCAGUAAACUAAGAAUAGAGUGCUUAGUUGAACCAGGCCAUGAAGCACGCACACACCG
rnacentral:rRNA from 1 species